CCCGGACAGGCGUUCGUGCGACGU
rnacentral:miRNA from 1 species